CAGGGAGCACAGCCCUAGCAACCGACCCAGCCAGCAGGCCAGACCUAAUCAGGUUGAAAAUAUUUCAAUUAUUGUGUUGAUUCUAGGAAGCGUGUGCGUGUGCGAGGAGGCGCGCGUGUGAGAUCGACCUGCUGCAUUUUAAUGACGGCAGCUCAGCAUCGAUCUGAAUGGUGGACGGUCGCGAAGGAGGAGGACGGAGGCGACGGAGUGUCAUAAAAGUGAUCAAGUGCUACUAAACGGCUGCUGUGGUGAUGGAGACAUUAGGAGGAUACAAUAACACAUGGUCAUCCUGGCUUCAACAGCGUGACAGUUGGCUCGGUGCGUGUGUGUAGCAGAACAACAGAGCUGGCAGAGCCGGGGUAACGGGCGCCAGAGAGAGAGGGAGCCAGGAGGACGAGCGGGGCUCCAGGCCUCACCGACGGUCCUGCAGCGCUCGCGUGCAGACAGCGAGUGCGUUUGGACGCAGUAAUUACACCUGACAACUGGCCUCCGAGGAAGAACCUCCACUGGUGUUUGUUGUUUGGAUGGAGGCAGAGCGAGAAGGUGUCGGAGCGGAAAGACAUGCGAGCGAAGGAGGAAAAGCUCGACGGAACCCGACAGCAAUAGGAAGCAUCCACAACAACCACCUCCCUGAGAAAAGACAUCUGAACAGCUGAAACUCAUCAAUGUCAUUUUAAGGAAAAUGUCCUUUGUUUUGUAUUCAACAUAUUUUGUCCCAAAAAACAACAACAAAAGAAAUAAAGAGCCAUAAAGAGA